GUGGUUCCUGCUUGUUCUUGGUGUAUUUUCAGCUGGGAGUUGGUGCCUUGGGUUAUCUUCAUCCUGCACAUAGGAACAGCAUGGAGAGGAGUUGGAGACUGCAGGCUCUACAGGUGCCUGUAGGAGGGAGCCUGGGGGCAGCUCUUGUCCAAAGACCUUUACCAGUGUGGUUGGAGAAACGCCAACAGCUGUGAGCAGAUCUGGCAUUCAGGGCUGGAGGAAUCAUGCUGGGGAACCGCAGCCAGGACUGCCUGGUCCUCAAACAGCUGCUGAGGGAAGGCUGCUUCCUGAGAGGAGCACAGCAGGGACCGAAGGAUGCCAUUCACUGGCCGAAGACUGGGGAUGGAUUUGACUUAGCCCGCACCAGGCCACCAGGAGAUGGACCCAUCCUGCACGCAUCCCCAGGUCCAGGAGCUGCUUCCCCUGCUGCUGCAUGGAGAGCAUCCCUGCAGGCAGUUGGGUCAGCCCAGCGCAGUGCCACCUGCUGCUGACAAUGAAAUGGGAGAGACAAGUAUUUAUUCUGCUCGGACCUCCUCGAGAAGCAGAUGCACGCCGGCAGAAUGCUAAGCAGAGCGGCGGUUCGGGGAGACAAAUGUCCAGGCAGCUUUUCUGUAAUAUCCAUUUGAAAGAAGCUUAGUGCCACCAGGCUUUCAUCUCAAUAUUCCUGAGGCCGGAUUUGAAAGUGCUUAAGGUUAAAUAUUACUCACUCUUGGAAAGAACAUCUCCAUCUGUCUCAUAAAAAAAAGCUUUCAGUCUUGGAGGUACUCAGGGAAACUUACCCAUAAACACAGUCAUCAGAGAUUUCCGAGGGGAAAAAAAAUCCUAUAGGCUCUGCCUGAGAAGUAAUUAGCCUUUCAAAUUCAGCAAUGUUUAAUCCCACAAAGCCUUAUAUACAAAAUAUAAUCCUGUUUUUCUUCAGAGCUGAGCCAGUGAGGGAGCAUGACCCCACCGGACCAGGCUGUGCACAGCUGGGUCCCAUUGGCCACAUCUGGGUGUCACGAGGUGCGGAAUGAGAAGGAGGCAUCCAGCAAGCCCAGCUCACCCCAAGUACCCCAAAGGAUGCUCUGGGCCCUGGGGUGAUGACCCUGUGAGGAUGCAGCUGGCAGGAGGCACUGUGGCACAUCCCCAGGUUGCUGAGAGAUGCUCUGGCUGCUAAAUGCCCAAAUCGCUUUGGAAAACUGGAUUUAAGCAGCCAGUUUUGAACGCUCGUGGUAACAGAGGAACCUGAAAUAACAUUGUGUGAUUUGGGGUGAAGUGCCCUGAGGCCUGCUGAUAAUAAUUGUAGCACUCUUUAAAAAGAAAAAUGACUUUUUUUUUUCCUGGGCAUUCAAAGCAGCUGACAGCAUCCCAGGGGACCUCCUGCUGCUUUCGAGAGGAGAAAUUGCAGCUUUUCAGAGGCUGAGAAAUGACACCACUCUGCAACCCACGCUGCUCCCGCGGAUCUCAGCUCCAGCACAGCAACACGGUGCUGAGGCCGCGGGCUCAGGGCUGCCACCAGGCAGGGGAUGUGCAGGCAAUGCAACGUCUGUCAGCAGAAACAUCAGCAUCCAUUCCUAACCAUCUGGAAGAAGCUGGUGCAAAGCUCUGCGUUAGAAAGUGCUCCUUGUUCAUCCUCGUGGUAAGAGAUGAGGUAGGUCCUGCCAACUCGGUGGCUCGUGGCUUGUUUCCCCUCCCAGGUGUGAUGCCUCAGCCAUCCCAUGGGUGCCCCGAGAGCUGCAAGGCUGGGAGAUGAGGUCUGAAGCAUCCCAGUGCAAUCGCUGACCAUUGAAUGAAACCAAUCUCAAUAAGAAGACUGAUUUAAGCUGCAUGGACCAAGACGACAGGGGACCAAGCACAGCCCAUGGCCACGGUGGGGAUGAGUCAGUCUUGGUCUUUUGACUUCUCAAGUUCGUGGGAGUGUGAAUUAAUGGAACACUUCUGAAAAUGAAAGGGAGGCACCCAGUGGUCCUUUGCGGCGAGGCGGAGAGGUGUGACAGCACAGCAGGCCAAAGCUACGUGUUGGAAUCUUCAUCUCUUAUCCCCUGUCUUCUUUGGUGUUUUGAAGCACUGGAAGACCAUUUUUAGGAAGGUGACCCUAAUCAAGUGGAAUGUAUUUCCAAAUCUUCAUUAAGCCCAUCUUAUGUGAUGACCCUCCAUCCGAGCAGGCAUCCAGCUGUGGGCCAGACUUUCUGGCCCCAAGGAAGAGGCCGCCCUCUCCCCACAGCCUUCCUCUGCCUUCACCCUGGAGCAAAGCCACUGAUCAGAAGCUGGAGGAAAGGGUUAACUGUGGGUCUGAGAUGCAGGCCGUAUCUGAUUGCUCUGUGGUUAUGGAAAACUAAAGUUGUGUGCCACGUGCACAGCAGUUCCAAGCUGGUUUCUGCAGGUCUGCUGAGCGCACAGUCUUCAGAGCAGCCCCAGCCUUUAUUUUUGGUUUUGCUAUCUCUGCAAAUGGAGCUGUUUACUAACAACAUUUCCUAACAGACAAUUAAAAGCUGAUUUAUAUAAGGCU
ensembl:lncRNA